rnacentral:pre_miRNA from 1 species
AGAUUUCUCCUUGCAUUGCGGUAGAAGUGUACUCCACAUCAAAGUUGCGGCUGUUUUGAUGUGAAAUACACGUCUGCCGCAAUACAAUCAAA